rnacentral:rRNA from 1 species
GCCCUUAGAGUUUGAUCCUGGCUCAGAUUGAACACUGGCGGCAUGCCUUACACAUGCAAGUCGAACGGUAACAGGUCUUCGGAUGCUGACGAGUGGCGAACGGGUGAGUAAUACAUCGGAACGUGCCCGAUCGUGGGGGAUAACGAGGCGAAAGCUUUGCUAAUACCGCAUACGAUCUACGGAUGAAAGCGGGGGAUCUUCGGACCUCGCGCGGACGGAGCGGCCGAUGGCAGAUUAGGUAGUUGGUGGGAUAAAAGCUUACCAAGCCGACGAUCUGUAGCUGGUCUGAGAGGAUGAUCAGCCACACUGGGACUGAGACACGGCCCAGACUCCUACGGGAGGCAGCAGUGGGGAAUUUUGGACAAUGGGCGAAAGCCUGAUCCAGCCAUGCCGCGUGCAGGAUGAAGGCCUUCGGGUUGUAAACUGCUUUUGUACGGAACGAAAAGCCUCUUUCUAAUAAAGAGGGGUCAUGACGGUACCGUAAGAAUAAGCACCGGCUAACUACGUGCCAGCAGCCGCGGUAAUACGUAGGGUGCAAGCGUUAAUCGGAAUUACUGGGCGUAAAGCGUGCGCAGGCGGUUUUGUAAGACAGA